AACACUGUUAACCUGCGGUACCUGCGGAGGGAUCAUUAACGCGUCUCCGACGGCGAGGGCGCGCCCCAGCUCCGGGCCGAAAGGCCGCGCUGCGGGGCGGCCCGAGCCGCUCGACCUUUGCGAACCCGCUGUGCACUUUUGUCGGCAGAGGCCCCCCCGGGGCCCGAGCCGGAAUCACAAACCCACUCGAAUCGAACGCUGAGCGGCCCCCGUGCCGCCUAAACUUUGACAACUUUUAAC
rnacentral:misc_RNA from 1 species